UGGACGGUGUGGCGCGAGGUCAUGUAUAUUUCACGUGCGAGCGACCUGCUUUGACAGCGUGACCUCACGCACGCCACCCAAAGGCGCCCUGGACUCGGCCGUCCGCCCGCGGCCCGCUUUCAUGGCCGGCAGUGAAUCGUGCGUCCGAGGGUCUGAAGGAGAGAGUUAAUGAAGUAAAAAUUAAUGAAGCACGUGAGCACCACCAUCUCAAGGCUGUAAGUUCCUCCAUGCCCCAUUUAUAAUGUAUGAUCUCAAUAAAAUCAAUCCAAUGUACCAGUAGCAGAGUAGAUUUACAGAUUACGGCCCUGUGUUCCCCUGGUCAUAAUUACCCCCCACCGCCACCUCACCCGCCUUCAGCCCGCGUGUGCUGCUGGGCCCCUUCACAGAAUUGAACCGGAUCUCGUCUGUGUAGACGCGAGUUACACCAAAACGUGGUGAUUUACGAGCGGACGUCACGAGGCUGUGUUGCGGUUUGCGGAGCGGCGCCUUUUGUGCUCUGUGUCAUUCUAUGUGAUUAAACGUAUGGGAAAUGGGAGGUCAAGCUCCGGUGGGUUUUCACUUUCUCCUCUGCCCGUAAAGACUUGUUGAAAGUUAAAGCGCGAUAAAGUGCAGUUAAGUGGCCUGUAUUAGAGCUCCCCCUUCAGGCGAGAGGGAGAACUGCGCAUCCGCAGGCUCAGCUCCGCCACAUGAUGAGGAGCGGUGGCGUUUCACGCCGCAGCACGGUCGCGUAUAUUCAUGAGCAGCAUUGACGGAUAAUCAGCAUCUAUUUUGAAUGAUUAUGCCACUGUUUUAUUAAAUUCAAAAUGUGUGUUUGCUCUUGUUCAGGGGGAAAAAAUGAAAUUACACAAUAAUUGCAAUUAAAAUCCCCCUAAUCAUUCUCAACGUGUUCCCUACAAUCUACAAUCUGUAGGAGCACAUUUGAAUUGAAUCUACAGGCCCUCUUCAGACGCCUUAAAAAGUGUGGGGAGUAAUAAUAAAAGUGAAAUAUUUUUGAUCAGUUUUUAGGUCUUUUAAACGCUAUACAAAGCUGUUAAUACCAACAAUAAGAGCUGCAUGGUAAACACAUUUGCAAAAUGUAUGAAGAGGAUGAGAAGCAGCCUGGGCUGCAGAUGAACCCAUACGGGCUGGAGACGGAGCACAGGACUGUCACGUUCAGCGCCUGAUGUGCCCACCUCUCCGCCGCCAUGAACAAUUCUAUAUUUAUAAUGUCAUCUUAUCACGUUCCCCUUGAAGGCAGCAGCAAGUGCACUUAUGCCUUCCUUUGUUAGGGUGAGUUGGCAAUUUCCUGUGAGAUGGAGCAACUGCAGGCAGCCCUUUUCUUUGAUAAUGUCCCUGACACCUAGACCAAACUGCUGUUUCCAUCACUUUGCAGGCUGGAGCGGCAGGAAAGGAACAUGUCAUAAGCCUCCUGCCACCCAGAGUCACUCACUGUGCAUUUAACGGCACUCUCCUCACUACACUCUUCAGGAUGUGGAGGUCGGAGCCGCGGGGAGAAUCUCGCGGGCAAAGUUGUCUCGCCGAGCUGCAUCGGAGAGUAGUGAGAGCGAGUGGAACGCCGCUUCCCAGUCGUAAUGUUUUGUUCCCAUCUGAUUAUCAGGCGCACGGACGUGUUCGCCCCCAUCCUCUGGAAUGACUCGGCUCUUUGUGGCGUACCCCAGUCGCACCAUGCAGAGCUAGUUGUUAAGCGGCUAGUCUGAAAUGGUGUUUAUUACAGAGGCCUGACAGAUUGAUUUUAAAUUAUAAUUAAUCAGUUGAUUUUGACCCACAGAUUGUGAUUGUGCCCUGUGAGUUUCAUUUAUUCAGCUUUUCUUCUGGCUCUACUACAAUCACAGUAGACCUGCAGGACUCUCCGGCAAAUUAACAGUCUUCACGCUACCCUGCAGCCAUAAUGAAAAUAUCAGUCAAUCAAAACCCAUAUUAUGCUGUGAAAUCCUACCACAUAUCUCCAGACCUGCAUACAAAUAGAAGCCGCAGCGUAAGUGCUCGGCGCCGUUUGGGUUUUAUGGCUGACAGCACGUCGGCGAGACGUUACGCCGGCGCCGAGCACGUCCACCUGAAGCACCGCUGUGUUCUAGCCCUGGGCCUGUCGACGAGCGAUAAAACAGAUAAUCUGGACAUUAGGAUGCUUUGGGGGGGGUCCAUCCUAUGUUUCCUGGCAGGGGAAGCGGAGGGCGCGCGAGGACGCCGGGGCCCGUCUGCAGCCCGUCUGCAGGUCCGGUGAUGAACGGCCGCGGGCCGGACGGCCACGGUCAGGCGGCGUGUUGCUGCUCAGCGUGCCAUGGCACACGGGCCACUUCAACCCUGAGUCCCUCCUUACAGGAGAAAAGGACUGGGUUAAAAGAACGUCUGAUUGAUAAGGAACAACUACUCUUUGGAUUUAUAAAUCAACCCACGUUAAAACAUGAGAAUGGCUUCAAGAAACUGUUGUUGAUUUCCUUAAAGCAUUCAUAUACUGGUGAUGACCAAAGUCAGAGCUAAUAAAUAUUACUUUUGACUGAGAAUAUGAAGGUGCAGCAGCUGAAGAAGACACAGACUGAACCCAUUCCUGAGACAACCCCCAUUGAAACCCACCAGCCACUCCAACGGCCUUUUCUCACCACAUUUCUGCCCGUGUGACCACACGUGACAAUUACCCUGUGGUCGGUGACAAGCAGUCGCCACUUGAUGUUUAACUGGAACAAAUCCUCUCAUAAUGCUGAAUAGGUAGAAUUACUAAUGCUUUAUUCAUUAUGACAAAAGGCGCAGCAGCUUGUGCUUUGGGUUUUGAUUGUCAUAUAUCACAUUAGGCUUGAGAAAAUUGUAAUUUUUCAGUAUUUGGAUAUUUGUAUAUAAUGUCUAUGGGUUAUAUACAAUUAUAGCACUCUUACUAAUAAAGGCAACGAUCUGUAGUAACCCAUACCUCCCCAUAAAGCAGUAAUUGUGAUAGACCUAGAGAUUUAGUAUUGUUGACUAUCUGAACAACACAAGCUUAGUCAGCAUUGUAAGUCAUGUAAAGUCACUGUAAACACGGGCUGCAGAAGCAUGAGUAAACCUCAGCAUUCAGGAUUUCUCCUCCAUGCUUCAAUAACAGUAAUUACAGCUGCCACUACCACAGACAGACUGAUGGCCAAGUCAAAGACAAGUGAUAACACGAUUCUGCGGUAAUCAAGGCUUUAAUAGGAAUGUACAGUUAACCCUAUGAGCAUGAAGCAGACAUCACCGCAGCAGAUG